rnacentral:rRNA from 1 species
AGGACGAACGCUGGCGGCGUGCUUAACACAUGCAAGUCGAGCGGAAAGGCCUUUCGGGGUACUCGAGCGGCGAACGGGUGAGUAACACGUGAGUAAUCUGCCCAUCGCUUCAGGAUAGCCAUCGGAAACGGUGAUUAAUACUGGAUAUGACAUUCCUUCGCAUGUUGGGGUGUGGAAAGUUUUUUCGGCGGUGGAUGUGCUCGCGGCCUAUCAGCUUGUUGGUGGGGUAAUGGCCUACCAAGGCUUUGACGGGUAGCCGGCCUGAGAGGGUGACCGGCCACACUGGGACUGAGACACGGCCCAGACUCCUACGGGAGGCAGCAGUGGGGAAUAUUGCACAAUGGGCGAAAGCCUGAUGCAGCGACGCCGCGUGAGGGAUGGAAGGCCGUUCGGGUUCGUAAACCGUUCUUUACGAGCGAGGGACGAAGCGUGAGUGGACGGUACCUGACGAGAAGAAGCGACCGGACUAACUACGUGACCAGCACGGCCGACGGUAAUCCUGGACGCGGG